UGAAAGACAAUUAAGGAAAGAGUUAACCAAAAAUAUUUCCAAGCAGUACAAUAAAGGGUAAAUACAUAGGAAUUAUUUAAGGCAAAAUCCAAUGGUACACAGUUUGUAAAAAAGGAAAGGGAAUCAAUCAAACGACUAGUAAAAAUCAAAAUUGCAGGCUUAACUUGAAUGGACCAAGUCAGGAAUAGGUAAAGAGGAUUCAAUUAGGAAAAAUCAGUUCAAUCAAUCAAACUCCAUUAGAGAAUUUCAGAAUCAAUUAAUUAGUUGGUAAAACCUUUUGAAAGAAGAGUUCUCAUAUAUAAAGCACACAACUAUGUCAAUCAAGAAGAUACUGUCAAGUUAUUUAGAAUAGAGUUUAAUUAAAGAGAAGAAAGAAUCAGAUAGAAUCAAAAAGAUCUUUUGAAAAAGUUUUCCAGAAAUGAUUUUGAAAAAAAAAUUGGGGAAAACACUUUAGGAGCCCAGCAGAACACAUAACAUACCAUAGAUCUAAGAAAAUAAACAGAGAAAAAUCUCAAAUAGCUUAGGGUUUCGGAGAAACCCUAGAAAUGAGAAAUACUUGGAAGAAAAAUCACAUCCUGGGUCGAAAAGGUCAGGAAUCAGGCUCCUAAUUCUUGAGUAUCCUGGAGCAUGGCCGCAGAGUCCAUAGAACUACAUAUAUGAGAAGAUCUGAAAAGAGAACCAUAGAAAUGAGCCUUCAAAACCUCGAACACCCAAGUUUUAAUGGUGGAGAGGGGUGAGUACAAACCAUCCAUGGCCUGGGAAGCCAUGGAUUUCGGUGAAAACAUGGUGAAAUAGGACAGCAGAAGGCUAGGGUUUCGAAGAGCUGUUGAGAGGAUUUGAGAGAGCUUGGGAUUCAAAUGCGG
rnacentral:lncRNA from 1 species